AGAUUCUAAAACUGGGAAGGCACAACAAAGGAAAGUGAGCUUGGAAAAGCAAUGGGAUCUGCAAAGUGAGGUGUGCAGAGAGAAAAAUAUUUGGGGCUGGCAUCAAAUUUUUAACAGUAACCAAGACGAUGAUGGAAAAUUACGAGAAAUUGAAUGUGAUGCCAAAUGGGAAAGAGUAACUAGCCAAGAUUAAGUCCAUUGAUGCAACGGGCUCUCUAACGGGUUCUCUUUCACAUGAACAGAACAAGCAAACACGGAUUGUGACAUUCGUUGCACAAGCAAAUGUGUGAAGAGGUGCAGACCAGAUGGAAAAAUUCUGCAUAGUCAUUCUGAUGCAUGUGUUAAGACCUGGAUAUGACUUUGGACUGUGUACACAGCACGCAUAGGCAUUUCUUCUCAUUUUCCAUUUCGAGUCCUGUUUCAUUUUAUUUUUGUAUUAUCUUUAUGUGAAAUAGAGUUAUAGUUGGGAGGAAGAUUUGGGAAUAGCAUCAUUCUUAACCCAUAGUUAUCCUUAUGGGUUAAGAUAGGGUGAAGUAUAUGUAGGGUGAAAAAAUCUGGCCCAUAUCUUAGGGAAGUACAAGAGAAGCAACAUCAAUGAGAUCAUAAUUUUUUAAUUGUGUGCACAAGACGGGCUAGUCACCAUGAAGGCUGAAGGUUUUUCAUCUGUAGCAAUUUGUACCAGAAAAGAAGUUUCUGAAUCGUAAUGCUAUUUCCUGCGAGGAGGAGUUUUAAAGUGAUAGCCGAUGUAUGAGUCACUCUGUACACAGACAUGUUGUUUAUGUAUGUA